GACGAACCGUGCGAACGUUAUUCGGAAUCAUUGGGCUUAAAGCGCGUGUAGGCGGAUUCGUGCGUCUAUCGCUGAAAUCCCCCGGCUCAACCGGGGAAGUGGCGUGGAUACGACGAGUCUGGAGGGGCAUAGGGGGGACCUGGAACUCCGGUGGAGCGGUGAAAUGCGUUGAGAUCGGAAGGAACGCCCGUGGCGAAAGCGAGGUCCUGGAUGCCUACUGACGCUGAGAAGCGAAAGCAUGGGGAGCGAACAGG
rnacentral:rRNA from 1 species